AACGAACGCUGGCGGCAGGCUUAACACAUGCAAGUCGAACGCCCCGCAAGGGGAGUGGCAGACGGGUGAGUAACGCGUGGGAAUCUACCUAGUUCUACGGAACAACAGUUGGAAACGACUGCUAAUACCGUAUACGCCCUACGGGGGAAAGAUUUAUCGGAAUUAGAUGAGCCCGCGUAAGAAUAGCUAGUUGGUGAGGU
rnacentral:rRNA from 1 species